UUAGAGAAUGACUCCAAGAGACUUUUUUGUUUGCACUGACAUGCUACAUUUGCAUGCCAAAUUUCAUAGUCCUAGCUGAAAGUCUCUGUGGAGGCUAUUUUUUAAAUGCUGUAGGGGGCGCGAUGGUACAUGCUGUGAAUGUAUUUUAGUCUAUAAAUGUGAUCAGGACAGGACUGUGUUUAAUCAUGUGAGGUCUGAGGUAGAUUGGAGCAUGCAGAGGAUAGUAAGAUACCACUUGAUGUUUCAUGGCGAACCAUCAAAAUUCUGGAGGUCGCCAUGUCCACACCCUUUGACUCUGGAAGAAUCUUUUAAUAACUUUUGAUCAUAACAUCGUGUUGUAUACCCUGGUAAAAUUUGAGGUCUCUGGGAGUUAACCCCGAGGAGGAGUUCGCUCUCAAAAAUUAAAAAAAUAGAGAAAAUUUAUCCACAUAAUUCAAAAUGGCGGACUUCCUGUUGAGUUUAGGGGAUGGCUCCAAGAGGCUUUUUUGUGCAUCGUGAUGUGCUCUAUCGGCCUCCCAAAUUUUGUGGAUGUUGGUGAAACAUGCUGCCGGGGCUGUUUAUUAAACAUACUGCAGGGGGCGCUAUAGCACAUGCCCUGCAGAGAUGCAUACAGUGUUAUUCCUUGAGACGACUGUGAUGUGUGUGUAAAUUUUGGUGAGCUGUUGAACAUUCUAAGCCUGUCAAAAAGUACUUUGUUUGUCACAAAAACAACGCGUUGCCACGGCAACAGCAUUUCAUCAAAUAUCAAAAUCUUCACACUGUGGUAUUGUCUGGGGGUGAAGAAUCAGCUGACCAAUUUUCAGAAUGAUAUGACAAAGUUUGGAGCAAUGAUGUGUGCAAAUGUAAUUUCUAAACUGCUUGUUACCAAGAGGUGGCGCUAUGACUUUUUCUAAAUUUUUCAGUGUGGAUGUCCUCAAACUGGUUCUGGUGUCCAGCACAUGAAGUUUGGGGCAGAUAGGAUCCUUUGCAGCUGAGAUAUGAACACUUCAAUUUUCAUGGCGAAACAUCAAACUUUGCCGUCCCGCCACAGACACGCCUUUUCAUCACACGUCACCAUUUUUUCUGUGCUUCAUCAUCAAUGUGUUCAGGCUUAUGUCACAACAUCUGAGGUGAAUCUGAGCAACAGGCUAAGAAUAGUACAUGAAAGUCUAAAAAAUGUCAAAUUCUUGAUACCACAAGGUGGCGCUGUGACUGUGAAUGAAUCUUGCUGUAUGGAUGUCAUCGAGGCAGGUCUGUGAUCAUACAUGUAAAGUUUCAUUCAGAUCGGAGCAUGUUCAGGAGAGUUACACAGCAUUUCCUGUUUCAUGGCGAAGGAUCAAAUUUCGACAGGCCGCCACGACCACACCCUUUAACUAUGGAGGAAGAUUUUGAUAACUUUUUCUCAGGAAGGUCUGCUGUAUGUACUGGCAAAAUUUCAGAUCGCUCAGACUUUCCCCUAGGAGGAGUUCAUCAUAGAUUUUGUACAGUUAACGCAUGAUGGCGCACUUCCUGUUGGGUGUAGAGCAUGGCUGUGAUUGACUUUUUUGUGUUUCCUGAUGUGCUGCAUAUGCCUCCCAAAUUUUUUAGCUCUCGGCCAAAUUCCCUCCGAGUUGGCCUAAUACCACUUUUUAAAAUUUUGUAGGGGGCGCUAUGGAGCCAUUUUGUCAUACACUACCACAAUUCCUUUAGAAUAUAAAAUUUUUCACCAGUUCUGGUGUGUGUACAAAUUUUCAUGAGUUUUUGAGCAUGUUUAGGCCCUCAAAAAUGCAGUUGUUCUGAGAGACAAAUAAUAAUAAUAAUAAUAAUAAUAAUUAAAGCUGCGAGCAGCGUUGGACGGGUCCUCGCAUCCUUGCUGGUCGGCGACCCCAAGCAUGUCCACCAGGCAAUGCUGCGACAAAGUGUAUUUAGGCUCAUGGAUGUAACGAGGACUGGAUUCUGAGCACUCAGGUCAAAUUUCAGACAGAUUGGAGCAUGUACAGACUAUUUUUGCAGCACUUUGUGUCCAUCCACCAGGUGGCGCUAUCUCUGUGACUGUAUAGUGGUCUAUGAAACUCAUCAGGACUGGACUCUGAUCAAACAUGUAAAGUUUGAGGCAGAUUACAGCAUGUACAGGGGAUUUACACAAGACGUCCUGCUUCAUGGCGUAACAUUAAAGUUCAGUUGGCCGCCAUGGCCAUGCCCUUUGAGUUUUGUGAACAAUUUUCACAAAUAUGCAACCUGAA